AGAGUUUGAUCAUGGCUCAGAUUGAACGCUGGCGGCAGGCCUAACACAUGCAAGUCGAACGGUAACAGGAAACAGCUUGCUGUUUCGCUGACGAGUGGCGGACGGGUGAGUAAUGUCUGGGAAACUGCCUGAUGGAGGGGGAUAACUACUGGAAACGGUAGCUAAUACCGCAUAACGUCGCAAGACCAAAGAGGGGGACCCUCGGGCCUCUUGCCAUCGGAUGUGCCCAGAUGGGAUUAGCUUGUUGGUGGGGUAACGGCUCACCAAGGCGACGAUCCCUAGCUGGUCUGAGAGGAUGACCAGCCACACUGGAACUGAGACACGGUCCAGACUCCUACGGGAGGCAGCAGUGGGGAAUAUUGCACAAUGGGCGCAAGCCUGAUGCAGCCAUGCCGCGUGUAUGAAGAAGGCCUUCGGGUUGUAAAGUACUUUCAGCGGGGAGGAAGGGAGUAAAGUUAAUACCUUUGCUCAUUGACGUUACCCGCAGAAGAAGCACCGGCUAACUCCGUGCCAGCAGCCGCGGUAAUACGGAGGGUGCAAGCGUUAAUCGGAAUUACUGGGCGUAAAGCGCACGCAGGCGGUUUGUUAAGUCAGAUGUGAAAUCCCCGGGCUCAACCUGGGAACUGCAUCUGAUACUGGCAAGCUUGAGUCUCGUAGAGGGGGGUAGAAUUCCAGGUGUAGCGGUGAAAUGCGUAGAGAUCUGGAGGAAUACCGGUGGCGAAGGCGGCCCCCUGGACGAAGACUGACGCUCAGGUGCGAAAGCGUGGGGAGCAAACAGGAUUAGAUACCCUGGUAGUCCACGCCGUAAACGAUGUCGACUUGGAGGUGUGCCCUUGAGGCGUGGCUUCCGGAGCUAACGCGUUAAGUCGACCGCCUGGGGAGUACGGCCGCAAGGUUAAAACUCAAAUGAAUUGACGGGGGCCCGCACAAGCGGUGGAGCAUGUGGUUUAAUUCGAUGCAACGCGAAGAACCUUACCUGGUCUUGACAUCCACGGAAGUUUUCAGAGAUGAGAAUGUGCCUUCGGGAACCGUGAGACAGGUGCUGCAUGGCUGUCGUCAGCUCGUGUUGUGAAAUGUUGGGUUAAGUCCCGCAACGAGCGCAACCCUUAUCCUUUGUUGCCAGCGGUCCGGCCGGGAACUCAAAGGAGACUGCCAGUGAUAAACUGGAGGAAGGUGGGGAUGACGUCAAGUCAUCAUGGCCCUUACGACCAGGGCUACACACGUGCUACAAUGGCGCAUACAAAGAGAAGCGACCUCGCGAGAGCAAGCGGACCUCAUAAAGUGCGUCGUAGUCCGGAUUGGAGUCUGCAACUCGACUCCAUGAAGUCGGAAUCGCUAGUAAUCGUGGAUCAGAAUGCCACGGUGAAUACGUUCCCGGGCCUUGUACACACCGCCCGUCACACCAUGGAAGUGGGUUGCAAAAGAAGUAGGUAGCUUAACCUUCGGGAGGGCGCUUACCACUUUGUGAUUCAUGACUGGGGUGAAGUCGUAACAAGGUAACCGUAGGGGAACCUGCGGUUG
rnacentral:rRNA from 1 species